GACGUAGGGCGCGAGCGUUGUCCGGAUUUAUUGGGCGUAAAGAGCUCGUAGGCGGUUUGUCGCGUCGUCCGUGAAAACUCACAGCUUAACCCCGAGCCUGCAGUGGAUACGGGCAGACUAGAGGUAGGUAGGGGAGAAUGGAAUUCCCGGUGUAGCGGUGAAAUGCGCAGAUAUCGGGAGGAACACCGGUGGCGAAGGCGGUUCUCUGGGCCUUACCUGACGCUGAGGAGCGAAAGCGUGGGGAGCGAACAGG
rnacentral:rRNA from 1 species